GCUGGUUCACUUCCUGUAGGGACUGAAAACCAAGUGAGGAGAUGAAGGAUUGCACCAUACUACACCAGAGAAUACAGAGUGGAUAGACACUGCAGAUAAAUCCUGAUCAUCACUCAAGGAACAACUGCACAACUGUCAAGACAUCCAGUCCCUUCACAGCAUUGUUCAACACAGAAGGUUUGGCAGUGAAACCAUCAUCUGGAAAUCGGUCGGGUCAGGGGAGCUUUGACAUAUCAUCAGAUUUGAAACUGGUCAGUGGUGCGGAACCUUCUAUCAGAACCAACCUUUCUGAAGGUUCAGCUGUGGGUGAUCGGUCAGGAUGAGGCUGGGAAGAAGUGUGAGUGACUCCAAGUGUGGUGAGAGCUUCAAUCAUUCAUUGAGCCUCAUGAACCACUGACUCAUUCCUACAGGUGAGAGGCUGUUCAAGUGUGAGGUGUGUGAGGAGGGCUCCACAGGCUCAUAAGACCUACGAGCAUGCAAAAUGCAUCUGUGGAACAAACAUAUAUAAGAGAAACCAUUGAAAUGUGAGGUGUGCAAUCUAGAAUUUGUACAGUCAUGUCUUGAAGUAUCAAUGUAUUCACAUAAGUGAGGCACCAUUCACUUAUGAGAUGUGUGACAAAUCAUUCUCAGACUCAUCAACUCUCUGUGAACGCCAAUGCUUUCACUUAGAGGGGAAACCAUUCACAUGUGAGGUAUGCAACAAAUACUUCUCACAGUCCUCGAACCUCCGUAGACACCAACGCAUUCACACAGGAGAGAAACCAUUCACAUGUGAGGUGUGUGACAGAUCAUUCUCCCAGUCAUCGAACCUCCGCGCACACCAACGCAUUCACAGAGGGGACAAACCGUUCACUUGCAAAGUGUGUGACAAAUCAUUCUCGCGCUUAAUGAACCUCCACGUGCACCAGCGCAUUCACACAGGGGAGAAGCUGUUCACGUGCGAACUUUGUAAAAAAGCCUUCACACAGUUAUCGAGCCUCCUGCAACAUCAGACAAUCCACACAGGGAAGAAAGCCUUCAAGUGUGAGGUUUGUGAUAAAGCUUUUGCGAUAUCUACAAGGCUGCUGAUGCACCAGAGAAUUCACACAGGAGAGAAACCAUUCAGGUGUGAGGUUUGUGAGACGUCUUUCACCCAAUUUUGUGAACUCUUGACGCACCAGAGGAUUCACACAGGGGAGAAGCCCUUCAUGUGUAAGGUGUGCAAUAAAUCUUUCUCACAAUUAUCAACCCUCAGCACACACCAACGUAUUCACACAGGGGAGAAACCAUUCACGUGUGAGGUCUGUGACAAAUCAUUCUCGUCAUCAUCAACGCUAUGCAAACAUCGACGUAUUCACACAGGGGAGAAACCAUUCAUGUGUGAAGUGUGCAACAAAUCCUUCUCGCAGUCAUCGAACCUACGGGCACACCAGCGCAUUCACACAGGGGAUAAGCCAUUCACGUGUGAAGUGUGUGACAAAUCGUUCUUGCAUUUAAUGAACCUCCGCAGACACCAACGCAUUCAUACAGGGGAGAAGCCGUUCAUGUGUGAGGUUUGUGACAAAGCCUUCACACAGUUAUCGAGCCUCAUGAAACAUCAGACAAUCCACACAGGGGAGAAAUCCUUCAAGUGUGUGGAUUGCGAUAAAGCUUUCGCAACAUCUACAAGGUUUCUGAUGCAUCAGAGAAUUCACAAAGCAGAGUAACCCUCCAUCUGUGAGGUUUUCAACCCUCCAGUCAGAGGAUUCAACCAGGUUAGAAACUCUUCAGAUGUGAGGUGUAUUACCAGGAUUUCAUCCACUCCUCCAAUCUCCUAAAGCGCCAGCGGAUCCACUGCUUAGAAACCAUUCCAGUGUGAGAUGUGUUACCAGGAUUUCACACCGUCAGUGUAUCUCCUGAUCCAUCAACUCACUAACACAGGGCAAUCAAUGUGAGUUCUAUAAUAAAACCUUCACACAGUUAUUGGACCUCCUGGAACAACAAUGAACCCACAACGGAGACAAACCCUUCCAGUGUGAUGUGUGACAGGAUUGUUUCACCUACUCCUCCUCUCUCGCCAUACACCAACGUCUCCACACAGACUUGGAGCCGGGUCACCUGCUUCCGUUACACUGAGAAUUGUCUGUGUUGUUUCCCCUCCCGUGUUUACACAGGGGAGAUGUUGUUUCAAAGCAUUGUCUGUCUCAGCAGUGCCUGUCUCAAACCUCUCCCACCAUCAGUCCAAUUAUUUCAAUAAGGCCAAUUUAACCUUUGACCAGAUCACUAAACAUCACCAAUGAAGACAUCAAUAUGUAUGGAAGCUCCUAUAUAAACUCAGCAUCCUUUCAGUGCAGCAUCAGGUACAAGUCACUCACUGACUCUCACUCUGACCAAGAAGGAAAUCAGAUAUUCAGUGGUUAGAAAGGCUUCAGCUUCUGAUCUACCAGCACAAGCACCCGGGGGAGGAGCCAUUCCUGGGGUAGUAAUGGAGGGACUUCAAUUAGUCUUAGCAUCUCUGGUCUAUGGAGGGGGAGAAUCAGCCAGGAAUCCCGUUCCUCAUCGGUGAUCCCAGCUGGGAAUUCAGGGGGAGGGCAGGAUGUGUCUCAGCUGUGACAGUCUCCAUUGUCUCACAACAUUCAGUGUCUGGGUCUACACAUGCUGAAUGGCCACUCGAAUAGAGCACUAGAGGCCGAUCAAUGUCCACAGCCUGUACUCUAGGUCAGUACUUUGAGGACUGGAGGGAAUGUGAGAGGACAACAGCUUGUAUUUAUAGAGCACUUUAGUAUAGUCAAAUAUCCCAAAAUGUUUCAUAGAGACGUAAUCAGAGAAAAAAUAACACCGAGACAAAGAAAGAGAUAUUAGGAAGGGAUGACCAAAAUUAGGGAAUAGUUUCUCACCAACUACUCAAUCAACUCGUUUAAUCAUCUUAAACACCUCAAUUAAAUAACUCCUUAAUUUUCUGCAUUCAAUGGACUAAAAGCUCAGUCUGUACAACCUGUCCUCAUAAUUUAACUCUUUUAGCCCCAGGAACAUCCUAGUGAAUCUUCACUGCACUUCGUCCAAGGCCAAUGUAUCGUUCCUGAGAUGUGGUGCCCAGAACUGAACACAGUUCUCCAGGUAGGGUCUAAACAGAGCUCUGUACAGCUGGAACAUAACUUCCACAAGGACACAGUUGGUUCUGGGGAAGAGAAGUUGUGGGUUAUCUUUUCUCUUCAGGAUGGUCCUGGAGUAAUGAGCAGUUUUGGCUUGAUGUUGUCCAGUCAGAUCUGGCGAUGGAUGGUUAAACCAGUUGUGUACCAGAUAUGCUCAAAUCUUCACCCAUUGGACUUGAAAAGCAGGACAUGGACCAGGAAGGAAAAGAGUAAAAGUAAUUUUGGGAAUAAGGGUGUAGAAGGUGGAUAUGAGGAAGUGGUUAAAUCAGAUUGACGAUGCCAGAAGCAUUGUGUUGAAUGGAGUGCCAAAGGUCAGAGAGUUGGGAAUUAGAAAGCGCUGUCUAACUCACCUGGGGGAAGAGUGUCUCCCAGGAAUGGAAACUGAUUGGUCCAUAGACCCAUGUGACCAUUGAAUCUCUGUAACCAUUGGUGGGUUUGUAUAAUGGAAACGAGUUCUAUCCUGUGCCACUAAAGUUCGGUGUCUUUUCUGAUCAUCGGAAUUGGGAGCCAGACUAAAGCACAGGAUUUUAAUGAAACUUCUGUCUGUCGUAUUCUGAGAGAGUUUCCCCUGAUUUGAUCGUGUGUGUCAGUAAAGUGAGCCAGCUCUCAGGAGUGGGUAUGGGGUAGAAUUGGACCCUGCUUUAGUUGGUGAUGUGAAUUAUAGACAGAUCCUCUUCAGGUGACGGGUGUUUUACUAAUACCAUACGUAAUGUUUGUAUUCUCCUGUCUGGGAGGACUACUAUCCUGAGUAUGGUGAGGGAGUUGGGGUGAGUCUCUUCGGACCUGAGUUCCCUCAACCCAUUAUACCUCAAUGUAAUAACGGGGUGAUAUGUUCACCUUACACUCUUCCAAGAUUCAUUUCAUGUUCUGGGAAAGAUCUUGUGUCAUUUCCAAAUGCUUUAAUAUUUCAGUUGAUUCAAAGUUUGGUGUGAGCUGAAUAGUGUUUUUUUUUUGUCUGCUGUUUUAUCAAGCUUCAGUAUGGAUUUAUAACUCACAAUAAAUUAUUUUUUUUAGCUGAACCCAACUACCUGAUUUGUCACCAUGGUGUGUUCAUAUUCACUGAAAUACUCAGGAAUCUACAGUAAGAGUCCUGUACACAAUAUAUGGUCAAUGUCACUGGGCUAGUACACUUUCUCCAUCAAUGGGUUUAUAAUUUUCAGUUCGCAGGAAGCAUGAUGUUUCCCCAUGAAAGAAAGUGUUGCAUUUACAUAUCAACUUUCACAGAUUCAAGGCAUACCAAAGCACUUUACAGCCAAUGAAAUGCUUUUUGAAGUGUAGUCGCUGUUGUAAUGAAGGAAACAUGGCAGCCAAUUUGCGCACAGCAAGCUCCCACAACCAGCAAUGUGAUAAUGAUCAGAUAAUCUGUUUUAGUGACAUUGAUCAUGGGGUCCAUAUUGACCAGGACACCAGGGAUAACUCCCCUACUCUUCUUUAACUUAGUGUCAUGGCAUCUUUUACUUUCACCUGAGAGGGCAGAUGGCCCUUGGUUUAAUUUAUCUGUAAGAUGGUAAGUCUGACAGUGUAGCGCUCCCUCAGUACUGCGCUGGAGUGUCAGCCUCAGUACUCAAAUGUCUGGAAUGAGACUUGAACCCAGACCUUCUGACUCAGAGACAAGAGUGCUAGCUAAGCCACAGCUGACAAUUUAUAUUUCUGUUGUAUUAGAUUCAGUUUCUAAGGGGUUAGGUCCCAAGGCUGUGUACAGAAUGCUUUUCCCCCUGUAAACUGGCAGCCUGAAAGUUUGAUUUGAUUUAAAGUGGUAACUAGUUAGAGCUGCAGGUGUCAGUGUUGUCUUUGUGUCUGGGUUCCUGAAGCUGUGAAUGGUGGUAAAGUCCCUGGUGUCAGCUGGAAUGGACAUCUUAAGGGAUUGUCUUCAAUCAGUACUGCUGAUUAACCAUUCUGCUUUCAUUCACUCAUGAAAGUUCUAUUGUUAGGCACAGUUAUAAAUGUCUGUCAGGAAUAAAACUUGAGGAAUAACCCACUCUUCCCAGGAAAACUCAGUGUUAGUUUUUGAGCUUGUUUUCAAAUCCCUCCAUGGCCUCUCCCCUCCCUAUCUCUGUAACCUCUUCCAACCCUCAGUACUGCACUGGAGUGUCAGCCAUGAUUUUUUGUGCCCAAAUCCUGGAGUGGGACUUGAAUCCACAAUCCUCUGACUCAGAGAACAAGGUUGUGGGUUCAAGUCCAACUCCAGAUGGAUUAUUCCAUUAACGUGGAUUAAAGUUGUUGUCAGGGCCACACGAAUAAUUCCUCAGGCUCCGGGCUCCCUGUACAAACCACACCCACCAUUUAUUGAAACACAAACUUGUAAAAUGAAUGACGAAAUUAUCCUGUAGAUCUUUACACACUGCAUUGAUCAUGAAGCCAAUCAGAUCACAAUUAAAUAAAAUUGCUUUGGUCACACACAAUUUUUAAAAUGUUUGCUUGAGUAAAACUCCUUUGUAAAUAUACAUCAACUACAAGGACACAAGUUGUUGCCAGGAGUUUCUGCUAUUUUGUGUUGCUUUUAUCUGUGUACUCUGACUGAAAUUGACCAUAUCAGGAAUUUUAAAUGUAAGUUAUGUCAAGUUUAAAUUGAAUUUUAACUCUGGUUUAUUAAACAUCACCCAGGAAGUUGGUACCAACCACAGAAAUGACCACGGCCCCAGAUGGGAAUAAUGAGAGUGGUGAGUUUCUGCCAAUUGCGUCUGUUUGAGGCGGCUCUUCAAAUUACACUCAGAGUUUUUGGGCGUUCAGGCACCAAUAGUCAGUCAUGUUCAUGACUCCAGUCUACAUGUUGUGGUCAGCAAUUAUUUCAGCAAACUACAGAGCCAAAUAAAAUCCCCUUCAUUCACAGGAUGGUGUUUCUCUUCUUAAGGAUGACAACGCCAUUCAUUAACGCUGGAAAGAACACUUUGAAUAAUUCCUCAACCGAAUCUACAGUAGUAGCUGAUACCCUCCAGUCUAUUCCCCAGUGCCUGUGGUAGAAUCCAUGGGAAUAGGAAGAGGAGAGAAUGGGCAGAGUGGGUGGGCUCUCUGAUUGACGUCUCUCACAGCCAAUCCAAAUAUUUCUGGAGUAACAUGAGUUUCCUCAAGCUUGGGGAACUGACCAGUGAAACGGAAGCGACUUUGAGCAGCAGAACAGGUGGGGAUUUAAACCUGUCAUUGUCCCAUCUGAAUAAAACCUCACUUAUUGCAGCCCAGCUGUCUCAGUUUGACAGAAAUGUGGUGGAAUCCCUGUGGUAGAAUCCAUGGGUGAGUCACCAUUGAUGGGAGAGCUGCAACAAACAAUCAAACAGAUGAAAAACAGCAUAGCCUGUGGUCCCAAAUGUAUUCCAGUUGAGGCCUUCAAAGCUGGUGGAUUUCUGCUCACAUCAAGGCUCCAUGAACUCAUCCAAUGGAUUUGGAGAAAAAAGAACUCCCUCCGACCUCAGGAAUGUGACAGUUGUAAAUAUCUUCCAGGAGGGAGAUAAAUCACGCUGUGGAAACUAUUGAGGUAUUUCCCUCUUGUCCAGAGCAGGGAAAGUCCUGACACACAUUCUCCUGAAUCACCUACUUCCUGUGGCUGAGGAAACCCUCCCAGAGACACAGUGACAUCCCCUCCUCAUGUCUCCUUCUUCGUGUCAGUGUUAAUUUUUAUCUGAUUAUGUCUGUAUGAAACACUUUGAGAUGUUUUACUAUAUUAAAGGCGCUGUAUAAAUGCAA